rnacentral:rRNA from 1 species
CCUACGGGAGGCAGCAGUGAGGAAUAUUGGUCAAUGGACGAAAGUCUGAACCAGCCAAGUAGCGUGAAGGAUGACUGCCCUAUGGUUUUUAAACUUCUUUUAUAUGGGAAUAAAUUGUUCCAUGUGUGGGAUUUUGUAUGUACCAUAUGAAUAAGGAUCGGCUAACUCCGUGCCAGCAGCCGUGGUAAUACGGAGGAUCCGAGCGUUAUCCGGAUUUAUUGGGUUUAAAGGGAGCGUAGGUGGAUUGUUAAGUCAGUUGUGAAAGUUUGCGGCUCAACCGUAAAAUUGCAGUUGAAACUGGCAGUCUAGAGUACAGUAGAGGUGGGCGGAAUUCGUGGUGUAGCGGUGAAAUGCUUAGAUAUCACGAAGAACUCUGAUUGCGAAGGCAGCCCACUGGACUGCAACUGACACUGAGGCUCGAAAGUGUGGGUAGCAAACAGGAUUAGAUACCCCUGUAGUC